CCUACGGGAGGCUGCAGUGAGGAAUAUUGGUCAAUGGCCGCAGGGCUGAACCAGCCAAGUCGCGUGAGGGAUGACGGUCCUAUGGAUUGUAAACCUCUUUUGUCAGGGAGCAAAGGGCGCCACGUGUGGCGCUUUGCGAGUACCUGAAGAAAAAGCAUCGGCUAACUCCGUGCCAGCAGCCGCGGUAAUACGGAGGAUGCGAGCGUUAUCCGGAUUUAUUGGGUUUAAAGGGUGCGCAGGCGGAAUGUCAAGUCAGCGGUAAAAUUUCGGGGCUCAACCCCGUCGUGCCGUUGAAACUGGCGUUCUUGAGUGAGCGAGAAGUAUGCGGAAUGCGUGGUGUAGCGGUGAAAUGCAUAGAUAUCGCGCAGAACUCCGAUUGCGAAGGCAGCAUACCGGCGCUCAACUGACGCUCAUGCACGAAAGCGUGGGUAUCGAACAGGAUUAGAUACCCGAGUAGUC
rnacentral:rRNA from 1 species